UUUUACUUGCUCACACGGCGUCCAAAGGAAGCAUAUAUUUAAAUGAGGAAUCACGUGUCUGAGCACCCAUCGAACUUUGACAUUGUCUCCGUAGACCGAGGUCUGACUUCUGACAAUAUCUUCGAGUCAUCAAUCACCACCUUCCAUUCCGCAUAUGAAAAUGCUGCAGCUUCUGAUCUGCGUUUUAUUGGUGACCUCGCUUGCCCUGGCGUCUGUCAACGCUUAUCCAAUGUCAGCGCAAGACAUUACACAAGAUGAAGACUUGGAAAGCCCACAAGAGAUUAUAGACAAAGCUGUGAAUUUUGCCAAAGGAAAAAUUAUUAAGUUGAGCAAAUCUUUAUCUAGAAAAUCCUGGGGUUGAAAAAGGCACAGAUUAUCAUCCAUUUGGAUGUCCAGCGAUGAUGAGUACGCAACUAAAGAUUGUCUGCCGCAGAGACCUGGCAGUAGUGCAUUGAUAGGUCUGUAUCAGUCGUUUAAUAAAUGGCUGUUUUAGAUCAUGA